GUGCUCACUUUGGCAACGCAUAUACUAAAAUGGAUAUACUUGUUGGAAUAUGCCUUCUCAGUACAGAGAUUAGCUUGGCCCUUGGUGAAGAUGACACCAAAAUUUAUGAAGCAUUCCGUAUUUUU
rnacentral:snRNA from 1 species